UACGUAGGGACCGAGCGUUGUCCGGAAUCAUUGGGCGUAAAGAGCGUGUAGGCGGCUUGUUAAGUCUUGCGUGAAAUCUCGGGGCUCAACCCCGAGCGGUCGUGAGAAACUGGCAGACUAGAGUGCGGUAGGGGAGAUUGGAAUUCCUGGUGUAGCGGUGGAAUGCGCAGAUAUCAGGAGGAACACCAAUGGCGAAGGCAGAUCUCUGGGCCGUAACUGACGCUGAGGAGCGAAAGCAUGGGGAGCGAACAGG
rnacentral:rRNA from 1 species